GCCUGGGUGGCUCAGUUGGUUAAGCAUAGGACUCUUGAUUUCAGCUCAGGUCAUGAUCUCAGGAGCAUGGGAUCGAACCCCAACUCAGGCU
rnacentral:tRNA from 1 species